AUUGAACGCUGGCGGCAGGCCUAACACAUGCAAGUAGAGCGCGAAAGUCUUCGGAUGAGUAGAGCGGCGGACGGGUGCGUAACGCGUAGGAAUCUACCUAGUAGUGGGGGACAACUCGGGGAAACUCGAGCUAAUACCGCAUACGCCCUAAGGGGGAAAGUGGGGGAACGUAAGGCCUCACGCCAUUAGAUGAGCCUGCGUAGGAUUAGCUAGUUGGUAGGGUAAAGGCCUACCAAGGCGACGAUCCUUAGCUGGUCGGAGAGGAUGAUCCGCAACACUGGAACUGGGACCCGGUCCAGACUCCUACGGGAGGCAGCAGUGGGGAAUCUUGCACAAUGGGCGAAAGCCUGAUGCGGCCAUGCCGCGCGUGUGAAGAAGGCCUUCGGGUUGUAAAGCACUUUAAGUGGGGAGAAAAGGGUAGUGAUUAACACUGGCUAUCUGUGAUGUUACCCACAGAAUAAGCACCGGCAAACUUCGUGCCAGCAGCCGCCGUAA
rnacentral:rRNA from 1 species